rnacentral:rRNA from 1 species
AGGACGAACGCUGGCGGCGUGCUUAACACAUGCAAGUCGAGCGGAAAGGCCCUUCGGGUACUCGAGCGGCGAACGGGUGAGUAACACGUGAGCAACCUGCCCCUGGCUCUGGGAUAGCUCCGGGAAACCGGGAUUAAUACCGGAUAUGACCCCCUUCUGCAUGGUGGGGGUGGAAAGUUUUUCGGCUGGGGAUGGGCUCGCGGCCUAUCAGCUUGUUGGUGGGUGAUGGCCUACCAAGGCGACGACGGGUA